rnacentral:rRNA from 1 species
AUUGAACGCUGGCGGCAUGCUUUACACAUGCAAGUCGAACGGUAACAGGGUGCUUGCACCGCUGACGAGUGGCGAACGGGUGAGUAAUGCGUCGGAACGUGCCGAGUAGUGGGGGAUAACGCAGCGAAAGUUGUGCUAAUACCGCGUACGUACUGAGGUAGAAAGUGGGGGACCUUCGGGCCUCACGCUAUUCGAGCGGCCGAGGUCUGAUUAGCUAGUAGGUGAGGUAAAGGCUCACCUAGGCGACGAUCAGUAGCGGGUCUGAGAGGAUGAUCCGCCACACUGGGACUGAGACACGGCCCAGACUCCUACGGGAGGCAGCAGUGGGGAAUAUUGGACAAUGGGGGGAACCCUGAUCCAGCCAUGCCGCGUGUGUGAAGAAGGCCUUAUGGUUGUAAAGCACUUUAAGCGAGGAGGAGGCUACUGAGACUAAUACUCUUGGAUAGUGGACGUUACUCGCAGAAUAAGCACCGGCUAACUCUGUGCCAGCCGCCGCCGUAAGAC